rnacentral:rRNA from 1 species
UACAGAGGGGGCAAGCGUUGUUCGGAAUUACUGGGCGUAAAGGGCGCGUAGGCGGCCUGCUAAGUCGAACGUGAAAUCCCCGAGCUCAACUCGGGAACUGCGUCCGAUACUGGCAGGCUUGAAUCCGGGAGAGGGAUGCGGAAUUCCAGGUGUAGCGGUGAAAUGCAUAGAUAUCUGGAGGAACACCGGUGGCGAAGGCGGCAUCCUGGACCGGCAUUGACGCUGAGGCGCGAAAGCCAGGGGAGCAAACGGG